rnacentral:rRNA from 1 species
CGAAGGGUGCAAGCGUUGUCCGGAAUCAUUGGGCGUAAAGUGUAUCGCAGGCGUUUUGGUAAGUUACUUUUCAAAUCUUUCGGCUCAACCGGAAAAAGGGAAGUAAUACUGCCAGGAUAGAAGAAUGUGGGGGUCACUGGAAUUGUCAGUGUAGGGGUGAAAUCCGUUGAUAUUGACAAGAACUCCGAAGGCGAAGGCGGGUGACUACGCAUUUCUUGACGCUCAUGAACGAAAGCUAGGGGAGCGAAAGGGAUUAGAGACCCCUGUAGUCCUAGCCGUAAACAAUGCUCGCUAGUUUCUCCUGAUUUUAUUGGGAGGGACGUAAGCUAACGCGUGAAGCGAGCCGCCUGGGGAUACGGUCGCAAGACUA